UGGAUCUGCUGUUGGAGAAGGCGUCCACAAGCAUGUGCAUAUAUAGCUAGGUGCAGAUGGCUGCCACGAAGUUGGGUUGAAGUGUCAGGAGUCGCCUGGGCUACCGAUUUGUAAGGACUACGCAGAAGAGACCACAAGUUUUGCUAGGGCGAACCUCCGUAGAAAAAUGAUUAAGCCAUUGCCCACAGUAGCCUCCAUGCUUCUAAUAACAGCUGGGAUGGCUUUUGCGGCUCCACAAACACCUGCAGAGUCCGUAGCCUUGGAUGCGAUUCAGCAUAUGAACUUAUUCGCUACUACACCAGUUAAAACAGGCGUGUGGAAGCAGGGCGAGCCGUUCUUCCCAUUCCUGCCUUUCAAUCCUGCCGUUGGAUUCGUCCUAGGCGACAAGAAAGGAGUCCUCUUCACCAAGCUGCCCGAUGGACAGAUCCAGUCAAAGAAGACCUUCUCCUAUUUUUCAAACAGCCAGAAACUCCCGGGCGGUAUUGUUCUGUAGAAAUAAAGCCUGAUGUGAGAGCUGGUUCGAGGUACAUUUAUGUA
rnacentral:lncRNA from 1 species